rfam:Brassica oleracea var. oleracea cultivar TO1000 chromosome C3, whole genome shotgun sequence
AAACCAUGAUGAAGGCAUUGAGACCAAUAGCCCUUGAACCUCUCCCACGCUUCACUGAAGCUUUCUAGACCUUUCUGUUGAAACUCAGAGAUUUCGUUCCUGAUCUU